UACGUAGGGUGCAAGCGUUAAUCGGAAUUACUGGGCGUAAAGCGUGCGCAGGCGGUGAUGUAAGAUAGUUGUGAAAACCCCGGGCUCAACCUGGGAACUGCAUCUGUGACUGCAUCGCUGGAGUGCGGCAGAGGGGGAUGGAAUUCCGCGUGUAGCAGUGAAAUGCGUAGAUAUGCGGAGGAACACCGAUGGCGAAGGCAAUCCCCUGGGCCUGCACUGACGCUCAUGCACGAAAGCGUGGGGAGCAAACAGG
rnacentral:rRNA from 1 species